rnacentral:rRNA from 1 species
AAUCAACGCUGGCGGCGUGCCUCAGACAUGCAAGUCGAACGAUUAAAGCUCCCUUCGGGGAGUGCAUAAAGUGGCGCACGGGUGAGUAACACGUAAGUAAUCUACCCUCGGGUGGGGAAUAACAUCGGGAAACCGAUGCUAAUACCGCAUAAUGCAGCGGCACCGCAAGGUGACAGUUGUUAAAGAUUUAUUGCCUGGGGAGGAGCUUGCGGCAGAUUAGCNGUUGGUAAGGUAACGGCUUACCAAGGCUACGAUCUGUAUCCGGUCUAAGAGGACGGUCGGACGACACUGACACUGAAUAACGGGUCAGACUCCUACGGGAGGCAGCAGUCGGGAAUUUUGGGCAAUGGGGGAAACCC